rnacentral:rRNA from 1 species
UACAGAGGUCUCAAGCGUUGUUCGGAUUCAUUGGGCGUAAAGGGUGCGUAGGCGGCGCGGUAAGUCGGGUGUGAAAUCUUGGAGCUUAACUCCGAAACUGCAUUCGAUACUGCCGUGCUUGAGGACUGGAGAGGAGACUGGAAUUCUCGGUGUAGCGGUGAAAUGCGUAGAUAUCGAGAGGAACACCUGCGGCGAAGGCGGGUUGCUGGGCUGACACUGACGCUGAUGCGCGAAAGCCAGGGGAGCGAACGGG